GGGGUCCAGAUAAGUGUGGCUGAUUUGUUCUUUUACCAUGUCAGCCACACUCUCAUUUAGUCGAUCUUGAUAGUCCGAAUACGAGAAGUGUCUUAAUCUAGACACUCUCUAAGUUGAUAGGAUCCAAAUGAAAAAGGAAAUACAAUGGUAGGAUUUGCCAUCUUUCUUAUUAAAUAAUGAAAAACCAAUUGAUCGGGAAAGGUCUUGUUCAUGGUGGUAAGCGAGGGAGGAUUUAGUAAAGGGAUAAUGCCGCUUUAUACUAAUAUAGUCCCGAGUUGGUAAUUAGAG
rnacentral:lncRNA from 1 species